GGGCGUGUGGCUCAGUUGGUAGAGCGUUCGCUUAGCAUCUCAUCGUCUCCCUCAAAGAGACGGUUCCCCUGAUGCGAAAGGUCCUGGGUUCGAUUCCCAGCCCGUCCA